GACGAACGCUGGCGGCGUGCUUAACACAUGCAAGUCGAACGGAAAGGCCCUGCUUUUGUGGGGUGCUCGAGUGGCGAACGGGUGAGUAACACGUGAGUAACCUGCCCUUGACUUUGGGAUAUCUUCAGGAAACUGGGGCUAAUACCGGAUAGGAGCUCCUGCUGCAUGGUGGGGGUUGGAAAGUUUCGGUGGUUGGGGAUGGACUCGCGGCUUAUCAGCUUGUUGGUGGGGUAGUGGCUUACCAAGGCUUUGACGGGUAGCCGGCCUGAGAGGGUGACCGGCCACAUUGGGACUGAGAUACGGCCCAGACUCCUACGGGAGGCAGCAGUGGGGAAUAUUGCACAAUGGGCGGAAGCCUGAUGCAGCAACGCCGCGUGCGGGAUGACGGCCUUCGGGUUGUAAACCGCUUUCGCCUGUGACGAAGCGUGAGUGACGGUAAUGGGUAAAGAAGCACCGGCUAACUACGUG
rnacentral:rRNA from 1 species